UACGUAGGGUGCAAGCGUUAAUCGGAAUUACUGGGCGUAAAGCGUGCGCAGGCGGUUUUGUAAGUCUGUCGUGAAAUCCCCGGGCUCAACCUGGGAAUUGCGAUGGAGACUGCAAGGCUAGAAUCUGGCAGAGGGUCGCGGAAUUCCCGGUGUAGAGGUGAAAUUCGUAGAUAUCGGGAGGAACACCGGUGGCGAAGGCGGCGACCUGGUUCGAUACUGACACUGAGGUGCGAAAGCGUGGGGAGCAAACAGG
rnacentral:rRNA from 1 species